GCUUUGAUGGCUCAGUAGGUUAGAGCGUAGGCCUCAUAAUCCUAAGGUCGUGUGUUCGAGUCACACUCAAAGCA